rnacentral:rRNA from 1 species
UUCCCGGGCCUUGUACACACCGCCCGUCACACCACGAAAGUUGGCAAUACCCGAAGCCGGUGGCCUAACCCCGCAAGGGAGGGAGCCGUCGAAGGUAGGGUCGAUGAUUGGGGUG